CGACCGCUGGCGGCGUGCUUAACACAUGCAAGUCGCAUGGAAAGGCCCUGCUUGCAGGGUACUCGAGUGGCGAACGGGUGAGUAACACGUGGGUGAUCUGCCCUGCACUUCGGGAUAAGCCUGGGAAACUGGGUCUAAUACCGGAUAGGAGCCAUUUUUAGUGUGAUGGUUGGAAAGUUUUUUCGGUGUAGGAUGAGCUCGCGGCCUAUCAGCUUGUUGGUGGGGUAAUGGCCUACCAAGGCGGCGACGGGUAGCCGGCCUGAGAGGGUGGACGGCCACAUUGGGACUGAGAUACGGCCCAGACUCCUACGGGAGGCAGCAGUGGGGAAUAUUGAACAAUGGGCGCAAGCCUGAUGCAGCGACGCCGCGUGGGGGAUGACGGCCUUCGGGUUGUAAACUCCUUUCGCUAGGGACGAAGCUUUUUGUGACGGUACCUAGAGAAGAAGCACCGGCUAACUACGUG
rnacentral:rRNA from 1 species